ACAGAAACAAGAGAAACACGGACGCGUCAGGAACAGUUACAGACGCGAUUUAAAAUUUUAAUUAAUUCGAGCGCCGAGCGCAGGAAAACUUUUCCCCAGAAUUUCGAAAAUGAGCCAUACCAGCGCGGUGCCUUCCUCUGUGAAAGGGUUAAGAACUGUAAUCCGAAACCGCAACGCAAAAACUUUUGUGGCAACACACUUCCAUACCUCUGUUUAUAUAUAUAUAUAUAUAUAUGUAUAUGUAUAAAGGACGGCCAGGAGACGAACUGAAAAGAGCAGGGUUUCUGAGACAGCAGUGACACAAAGUUGAGUCUGGGUCUCAGUUUGUGGUGCAAGUUUUCGGCUUGUGGCCAUAAAUUAUCACAGACAAAGUCAUUCGUUCCAUUUCGAGUGAAGCGCGCAUAGUCAGAGGCGGAGACCCACGAUUGGGGAGGGGUAAACGGAUGGGGACCGGGACUCGGGAAUUGGGCAGGCUUAGGCGCAGUGCACCUGGAAAAACUGGGAGACCGAAAGUGAUUUCUGUCACUUUCUAUACACCAUCUAUACAUUAAUAAUGAUAAACCUUUAUAAUUAAUAGUAAAGCCGCUUAUGAAAGCGAUUUAAC
ensembl:ncRNA lncRNA:CR45750 long non-coding RNA:CR45750